rnacentral:rRNA from 1 species
CGGCAACAGCUCAAAUUUGAAAUCUGGCUCUCUCAGGGUCCGAGUUGUAAUUUGUAGAAGAUGCUUCGGGUGUGGUACCGGUCUAAGUUCCUUGGAACAGGACGUCAUAGAGGGUGAGAGCCCCGUCUGGUUGGAUGCC